rnacentral:rRNA from 1 species
UACCACAGCUAUAUCAUCUGCAACCCAAGACUGGUUUCUUGCUGAAGCUAAACAGGGCUGAGCCUGGUCUGUACCUGGAUAAGAGGCCACAUGGGAAAACUAGGUUGCUGUUGGAA